UGUCCAAUGCUCUGGACUGCGGUCGAUUUGAAAUACGUGUUUAUGUGUGUGGAUGCGUUCGUGUGAUUUUUUGAAAAUGAUAUGACGACACUACUGACUAAUUCUUUGAUAUAAUUUGUAUUUCCAGAUUUUUUGAUGGUGGGAUGUAGAGAUUAUCUGUCUCAUUCGUGAAACUAACAUUUGACGGAAGGUGUAGUCAUGCAGACGAACGUGCAGAUCCAUGGUGGGGGUCGUGGGCUCCGUUCUUCCCCGGUAGAACGUACCUCGGACCAUACCUACAGCACCUACAACACUGUUAAGAUGAAGCUGCUCGUCAAUGAAGAUCUUACCUCCUUGAAGGCUUGGAGGUAGUAAUCCCGGUCCUGCUUUGUUGUGAACUUUGAUUGGCAGUGUUCUGUUACGGCUGAAAGUUACCGCCCUGGUACCUGCGAUUACGCUCUCCUUAUUGAGUUCCAGGUUGAAGGAGCUCGUAACAUCUUUCAGCAACUUCUCCAUAUGCUCUCCGUUAGUUUCUGGGACCCCGUUAAUUUCAAUAUUGAUCUGGAGUACUGCUCAUGUUUUUCCAUAGUGACAAUGGAGUUCUUUAGAAGUUUGUAUAAUUAUUUUAUUUCCUCCAUUCGUUUAUAUUUGUAUAUAUUUUAAUCGUGGCAAUAAGGAAAACUCUAGUAUGGUACGUGAAAUAUAAUUGAUACAAAACAGAAAUGCUUCGUCACACACUAAACCUGAAAUAAGAUUACUAAGGCGGACAUCAUAUUAUCCAAUCUGUCAAAUUUCGCGUCACUGAAAUUGUUGAAGCUGUUCAUUAAAGUGUUAUAAGAAUUGAUUAUAUGACCAGAUAAUUACGGGAUGACGCCUGAGAGGUAUGUGUUGUGGGCCUCAUAAAUGCACUUUAUUGCCAAUAAUAUUUAUAUCACUUCAUAUCAGUUUAACCACUUAAGUAUUUAUGCCCUUCAAUAAAGCCUAAAAUUAGCCCACAAAUUUUAUUGUAGCUUAGAAUUUUAAAAUCAAGAUUGUUCUGUAACAUACUUAAAAAGAAUUAAAACAUAUAUUGACAAUUUUUACGAUUAUAUAACUAGAUUAUACGAUUAAUACCCGUGGUAAAAAUGUUUUAAUGAGACUGCUAACGUCUUAUAGAGAUAUUAAAACUUUUCAUUUAGUAUUAUAAAGGAUUAUGUAUUUUCUAAUAAUUUUUAGAAACAUAUAUUUUAUGUUUACAUUUGAUUCUAAAAUAUUGGUAUACUAUUAAUGAGUACGGUAAUAAACUAGAAUGUUGACGAUAUGGGGACAGUGAAAGAAAAGUUGGGUUUUAGCGUAAGCAUGGGAUGAAAACGUCAUUAUGUUUCUGUUGCCCAUUUAUUGAUUUUUGACAGUACUUGUCUUGGUACGUUUCCUCAAUAAUUAAUACGAUUUUUUAGUUAAGUUAAUAGACGCAUUUCUUCAUGGAUAAUAUAACAAAUGUUACUCUAGUAAUUACCUUAUACUAAAGGUUUAGGGGGUUGGAAUAAAACAAAUCGUUCAUAAAGAGUAAUCUGGGUCUAGCAUGUGACAAUUUCUUUGCGUUUUAGAUUCUUUGAGGUAAGUUAGAAGUUGUAUUUUAAAGCAUUACAUUAAGAUAAAAACAUCUGAAACAUCUAAUUAUUCGAGCGAUAAGUGUAAGACUACUUAGUGUCGUAAUUGUAAUCGGUUCAUUUGGUCUUCUAAUGCCUUAUCCAAUGACUUAAAGUACUUGUUAAACUUAAAAAGUUUUGUUAGGUUUUUUUGCUCUUUAUUACU